rnacentral:rRNA from 1 species
CCUACGGGUGGCAGCAGUGAGGAAUAUUGGUCAAUGGCCGGAAGCCUGAACCAGCCAAGCCGCGUGAGGGAAGAAGGUCCAGCGUAUCGUAAACCUCUUUUGUCAGGGAACAAAGGCGGGGACUAGUCCCCGAAUGAGGGUACCUGAAGAAAAAGCAUCGGCUAACUCCGUGCCAGCAGCCGCGGUAAUACGGAGGAUGCGAGCGUUAUCCGGAUGUAUUGGGGUUAAGGGGGGAGUAGGCGGGGUGUUAAGUCAGCAGUGAAAGGUGGGGGCGCAACCCCAAAAUAGCAGUUGAAACGGGCAGGCUUGAGUACAGUAGAGGUGGGCGGAAUGCGUGGUGUAGCGGUGAAAUGCUUAGAUAUCACGAAGAACUCCGAUUGCGAAGGCAGCUCACUGGACUGCAACGGACACUGAUGCUCGAAAGUGUGGGUAUCAAACAGGAUUAGAUACCCGGGUAGUC